rnacentral:sRNA from 1 species
GAGUAGAGGUUGCGGCGCGUACCGCGGUU